GUAGGUGGCAAGCGUUGUCCGGAAUUAUUGGGGCGUAAAGCGCGCGCAGGCGGUUCUUUAAGUCUGAUGUGAAAGCCCACGGGCUCAACCGUGGAGGGUCAUUGGAAACUGGAGAACUUGAGUACAGAAGAGGAAAGCGGAAUUCCACGUGUAGCGGUGAAAUGCGUAGAGAUGUGGAGGAACACCAGUGGCGAAGGCGGCUUUCUGGUCUGUAACUGACGCUGAGGCGCGAAAGCGUGGGGAGCAAACAGGAUUAGAUACCCUGGUAGUCCACGCCGUGAACGAUGAGUGCUAAGUGUUAGGGGGUUUCCGCCCCUUAGUGCUGCAGCUAACGCAUUAAGCACUCCGCCUGGGGAGUACGGCCGCAGGGCUG
rnacentral:rRNA from 1 species